UACGUAGGUGGCAAGCGUUGUCCGGAUUUAUUGGGUUUAAAGGGUGCGUAGGCGGUUUUAUAAGUCAGUGGUGAAAUACGGCAGCUCAACUGUCGAGGUGCCAUUGAUACUGUAGAACUUGAGUACAGACGAGGUAGGCGGAAUUGACGGUGUAGCGGUGAAAUGCUUAGAUAUCGUCAAGAACACCGAUAGCGAAGGCAGCUUACUAGGCUGUAACUGACGCUGAGGCACGAAAGUGUGGGGAUCAAACAGG
rnacentral:rRNA from 1 species